rnacentral:lncRNA from 1 species
CUCCCACACUGACACGUGAUCCUCAGCACAGACCAAUCUGAAGACUAGGGCGGGGCCCAAGGGCUGAGUGCAGUAGCAAUGGCCGAUUGGAGAGCCCAUCACCAGCCCCUGGAGAGCCUGAGUUUUUAUUUUCGCUAAGGACUUCUAAGAUCACAAAUAACAUGCGCCGUGGUCCCAGAAACUCCUUUAUCACACUCCGAGGAAGGAAAGUGUUGCCUGGAGAGGACAUUGACGCCACCAGCUCAAUCGAGGCGGGCUCAGCCAUCAGUGGGUUUGUUUGGCCACUGGACGAACCGAUUUUUCCAACGUGACUCCUGUCAGACAUUUCCGUGGUAUCAGAAGCCACGUAAGACCUCCUGUGCGUUUGUUUGUUUUUGUUUUGUUUGUUUGUUUUGGUUUUUUUAAGGCUAGGGCAGCUACAGCAGACUUCGUCCUCAGACUGCAACUGUCACGUAUGGUGGUUAGGUUAAAGCAUCCACGUGACCCCCGGAAGACAGCGGGAAAGGUCUCAGGAGCUCGUAGAAAGAGGGUACCACUGGAUACGGGCAAUUACUUCACAGGCACGAAAUGA